CCGAGUGGUGUGGAUGUUUAUUGGGCCUAAAGCAUCCGUAGCUUGCUGAUCAAGUCCCCUGUUAAACCCAACGAAUCAAUCGUUGGAUUGCGGGGGAUACUGCUCGGCUAGGGGACGAGAGAGGCCGACGGUAUUUUCGGGGUAGGGGUGAAAUCCUAUAAUCCCGAGAGGACCACCAGUGGCGAAGGCUGUCGGCUAGAACGCG
rnacentral:rRNA from 1 species